rnacentral:ncRNA from 1 species
GAGGAAGCCCGGUGCGAAUCCGGCGCGGUCCCGCCACUGUGAACCCGGCCACGGCGGCCGGGCGAGCCAGGAACUC